UUUAUUACAGGAAACACUUUUUACAUUCAUUUGGUACACCGACCCUUGUGCUCACUACGAGCUGAGUGUUUCUUCUACAAACCACUGAGAUUCAGAGAGAAGCAGCAAUUAAGCCAUUCGCUCUGUUGACGGCUAUGUGACGGCGUGGGUGGAGUUCACUGAGGGUGGCACUGCAAACUGCAGCAACGUCAACACUGAAUAAUUGUUAUACAGGUGACACGGUGUACAUACAACUGAUGUGCCAGAGGUCAAAGGCUCCUCAGCGAUGAAAAUUGAUGUUUCUAAUUGUUUAGCAGCAAACUGUUACGUAAGUUUACACUGUUUAUCUCCACAGCAAAGAGCAACCGUGGGUCACAUGUUUAGAAGGAGAGUGUGUUUCAAUAGCAGCUUAUAACAGGCUUCACUGGCGAACAGCUGACAUGCUCGGGGGAUUACAAGCACCAAGCAGCGUCAAGGUUGGAAGUUGAACCUGCGACCAGCGGGACGAGGACUGCAGCCUCUGUACAUCGGGAGCUUGCUCUACCAACUUAGAUCUAAAUCAGCGCCCCAGAGCCUGAAUCAAUAUUGAAUCAUCUGACCUGCUUGUAAAGGCCGCAGGGUUUUCUAGCACCUGUGUGUCCUUUAAUCAGCAGAUCCAGCUCUAAGCCCUGUCUCAACACGUCCACAGCCCCGCUGCAGUGACCUUAGAGCAGGUUAAGGCAGGUAAUCUAUAGAUGACUGUGAUACCCUAUCAAAUCUAAACUGAAGUCCUAACAAACCAAGCAGAAACAAAAACCUGAUGGCUAUUCUUGACGACAGCACUUUGAAACAUGCACGGCACGCUGGGUCCUAUUCUUUUUUUAACAAAAUGGGUAGAAAUAAAACAGGCACCUGGUAAAGGGCAAUCCCUGGACUCAACUUGGAUAAGUGCUGAUGAACUGCUGUUCCACUAGUUUCUGAUUUUCUGUGAUUGAUGUCUCGCAGUAAAUUAAAACGACAUCUAAAGCAUUGGAGAGCUCCUAUGUGUGCGACUAUUUAAAAUAUCGAUGAGUCAGCAUAUUUCUUUUAAAAAUGUCUUCAUUUCAACUUUGACUGUCUUCUAUCCAACAAACAAACAAACAAAAAAACUCCCCCUGUAGAAAGUUGUAUUUGA